rnacentral:lncRNA from 1 species
ACAUAACGAAGCUAGAGAGAGAAAGAGCUGCGCUAUGAGAAAGAGAGCAAAGAGAGAGACAGAGAGUUGUGCUAGAGAGAGAGAGAGAGAGCCAAGAGAUAGAGAGCCAAGAGAGACGCAGAGAGCUGUGAUAGACAGAUACCAAAGAGAAAGAGAGCUGUGCCACAGAGAGAGAGAGCUGUGUGAGCUAAGAGAGAAC